UUGCGCGCUCUGCGAACCGACGAUUCAGUGAAGUGUUUUUUUUUUUUGUAUUGAAGGGUUAACCUAUCAGGUUGAGACGAAGCAUAAGCAGAAAUCUGCACGCACAGAGGAAGAAGAUCCAACCAUCAGUUACUGUGUGACGCUUCCACAUUGGGCAGCCUAGGCGAAGGCAUCCAAUGCACUCCGUCUUGAAUGUUACCCAAGACGCGAAUGAUCUGCGACAGCCACUGGUGCACAAUUGGGAUGACUGCCAUCACAAAAACUGAUGUUAGUUACGUCAGUAAGACGGUUAUCGUCUUAUGUACGUUUCCGUACGUCUAGGCGCAGUUACCAUUAGGCACGAAAUGCUAUGCCGAUGAAAUCGUCGUUCGGCCCUACGUGCAUUAAGAGUUGCUAUUGAGCUGCUCGGAUUCACGCUAAUACCCGGCG